GUGUCUGACCUGCUCUAUUUAGCCAUUCAUUAUUUCUCCAAUACCUGUCAAUGGAUGUUUUUGGAUGCUAUAUAGAUACUUAGAAACAUAUUGCUAAAUCUUGCUAAAUCAUGCUGAAUAAUUUCAGGUUGUGCUGUCAAAUUGCCUGACAAUUUAAUUCUGGAUUUUUUUCAGGAUCUGUGUUCUUUGCCUUCUUCUUACUGCUGAAGGGGGGUUUAUCUAUAUAAUGGCUAAUGUUGUCACCCUUAAUAUUCUCUCUUGCAGUCUUCCUCUGUCUUCCAGCUUAUUCCAUGCAGAGGUGUGCCCAGAAAACUGGGCUUUCUGCAAAACAUUGAAAGAGUUGUCUGCCAGAGCUGUGUGCCACUGUCUCAAAUCCCAGAUGGGAUGACAGAGGUGAUUCUUGUCACUGAAUUUAAGCCAUUAUUCAAACACAGCAUUUUUACCUGGGUUACUGUCAGGAAAACAAAUAUUGGAAAUCCAUUUCCCACUAGCCAACAGCCAAAGCAUCCCUCACUUGUAUAAAACUUUCCUUUUGCUGGAAAUAAAACUGCAUCUCCUGAGCCCAGCAUUGAGCAUUUUAGACUUGUUUUAAUACCAAGUAGAUAGCAAUGCUGCUCAGAUUAACAGGCAAGGAAGCAGGCCCAGUAUUCUGAAAGCCACAUGCUAAGUAGCUGAACAGAAUGAUGAGCUGGGAAUCAGGAAAUAAAGAUUGUGCUUCUGUUUCUGCAGGUGAUCCACUGUGUAACUUUGGGCAAAUCACUUUCUUCUCAAUCCCUUUCUAUCUGUAAAGAUGAUGAGCUCAAUUAGAUGAUAAACUUGAGAAGUGAAAGUGGUAAGAAUAAUUCAAGUAAGGCAGUAUCAGCCACAUCUCUGCCUGUGUUUAUUGCUGGUUUUCUGAAUAUUUGAAUGCUCUAUUUUGUGUGUGAACUAACAUAGAGCUAUUUAUUUACCCUUGAAAAAUAGCACUAGCUGUUACUACUUGUGUGAGGGCUAAGAUAGGAGAGGGAAAGGAGGGAAAAAGGGAAGUAAAAAGCUUUACUUUUAUGAAAGUGAAAUAAAAUAUGCUACAUGAAAAUGACAAUAGAAAUGCACACUGUUUUAAGAUGACAAGUCUGGGAACAAUCUUUAAUUUAAAGGGUCUUAUCCACAGUUUUCAUAAAGAAAUGUUAAUUGAAAGUGUGAUGACAUGUUUGGGAUUUAAAGGAAAUCAUUCUGCAAAGGAUUUAUAGCAAUCACAGCUCCAGAGCAUUAGGAUUACAGAUCCUUGUGCUGUUCCUUUUCAGUGAUCAUGUGAUUGGCCUGCUGUUAAAUAUAGCUCCCAUUUAGCGAAUUGAGACAGGCAUGGGAAAGGUAGGGAGAGUUUCCCUUUAACCAGCGGGAUUUCAGAGGUGUUGGAGAUUAUACAAUUCAUUAGUUUUUACAUAAGAUCAAAGGGAAAGAGGAAGUCUUAAUUUGGGCACCAACUGCUACUGUCUGAAAGUCUUGCAGAUUAACUGAGGACAUGUGCAGCGCUAACUGCUUGUGUUAGAGCAUGAGACUAUUGUUUUAUAUCUCACUAACUCAUUGUUCUCUUCCCAGAGAUAAUUCUCACACUUAAGACCUUCAGAGAUAGUUAUGUCUAUUGUGAAUAGUUCAGCAACCAGCUGGCUCAGAGGUUAUUGCCUAAGCAUCUUUCCCUUGGUCUAAUCCCCUGCAAGGUUUUUUUUCUGGGCAGUGUUAUUAAUCUAAAAUGACUGCUAACUGACUCCUGUGUCAAACAUUAUUCAUUAUGUGCUUUAAAUGCUUCCUGCAGAGGCCAAAAUAAAUUUUGCUUUUUUAAAAGCGGACCACAAGGAGUGCCUAUAUAGGAUAUUUCCUAAAAGAUUAGACUCUAGCAGUUUAGAUGAGGAGGGGGAAAAAAUUGUCUUCAAAACAAAGCUUCAUAAUUUAACCAGGGAUAUACAAAAUGGACAAACCUCAAUUACCAAAACUGAUAUUUUUCAUACAGGAUUAUCUGUAAGUUGCUCUUGUGAAAGAAAACAUGCAGCCUUGCAGGGCAGGAGAAAUACUUUUAUAAAUAUGUAGAGUAAGUGACCUUACUAGAAAAUGAAGACCAAAUAAACAAAAUUCUUAAAACAGUAAUUCUUUUGUGUCUGGGGGUUUUUUUCAGGUGUCACUGGUGUUGGCAUGAAGCAUGAGGGGUUUUUUGUGUCAGUGACACUGACGAGCCUUGCAUGUGUAAUGGCAGUAUGGGAAGAGAGACGGAUAGAUUUGAAUAGCAAUAAGGUCUUCAGGUAGCUGUUCAGCCAAGUGUGUAUUGCUGGCAUUAAAUAGCCCUGCCUGAGAUGAGAGCUCGUAGCAUCAGGAUUGAUAUGUGAAAAACAUCAACAAAUUCAGGACAUGCGGCAACAGUGAGCAGGAUUUCUGUGAACAGUUUGGCCAUUCAUUAACAAAAAGAAAAUAUUUGUCAUCACUUUUCCCCAGAAUGUUUUUACAAUGGCAGCUGCUACCUGAGCUGGUAUUUGUGUUGCUGAGCAAGUGAGCAGCAUCCUAAGGAAAUAAACACACAGGCAGGUGUGCAGCCAUGCUCAUUUGCUGCUUUUUGAGGGCAGAAGAAGGGUGAUGUAAUUAGCAGACACAUGUUUAAAUUUUUAAUUAAGAGUUUUAAUGGAUUAUUCACUGCCUACCAGAACACACAUGCUCUUACUUUCUCACUUUUUCAGUCUGGGUUCCUAAGGAAACCAGGCUUAGUCAGUCAUGCUGCCUGCCUGCCUGCCAGCCUUCCUUCCUAAUCAGUGUUGAACUCUUUCGGGUUCAUGGCAGGCGAACACCACUUUUCUGGUAAAAUCAUGACUGCAUCACAACACAGUGGUAGCAAAAGGUCUGAGCAGCUGCUGCAGAGUUUAGCAGUAGGCACAAAUAGAUUUUUCCAGGAACAGGGCCGAGUCUCCAGCAAAAUCAGCAGGGGCAGAGGGAGGAAGGCAUGAGAGCAAAGAAGGGGAAGAAGAAAAAAAGAUCCUGAUGGGUUGACUGCAUCUUUCCCAGACCCCCUCUGACUUACUUGAUGUUCAAAGAGCAAUUUUUUAACAUUUUUUUAGUCUCAUGCCGCUUGCUGAUGCAGUGAUACUGUUUGUGGUACCUGUGUGAUAGAUACAAGUUGCAACAUUGGGCUGAAGGGCACAAAACUGAAAGACCUACCGGACUGCAAGGGUUCUAAGUGCCACUGCUGGCACAAGUAAUUUUCUUCUGCUUGUGAAUUCAUGGAAUGAUUUCCACGACACCUCUAUACUUUGUGUAGAGAAAAGCUAGAGAUCUAAGAAAAAGAGUUCCCAAGGUGUCCAGACCAGCAUUCUUAUCCCUGGGAGUGUGGAAACAAUGUAAGGCUGUUCAUUUUCUCCUUCCAUGAUUCAGUAUCAUCAUUGGUAGGUUUGAUUCCUGGAUUAAUCCACCAUUUCUACUCUUCUGUGAAGGAAAAUGGGUUAAUAUUUUUGCUGAGAUCAUCCGUCGUUAAAAGUUGUGGAGAUUUUGAGAGGAACAGCCUGUCAGGAGGCAGCCAUAGCUGGCUCUCUGCAAGGAAAGGUGAGCUGGAAGCUGAGACACCAACACAGCUGGCAGGACCGAAGUCUCAGCAGCCCCACAGCCCCCAGUGAGCCAAGCAAGGCAGGUCCAGAGCGGGGAGCGAGGAUCAGGCACAGCCCUGUGAACACCAGGCAGGUUCCUGGUGAAGAGGCAGGUCUGAGACCAGGCUGGAAGUCAGCUCCAGGUCAGGGUUUAGGUCCAAAGCAAUGGGUCCAAAGGCAGGGACAGGCAUGACUGCAGCACGGCAGGAGCUUUAGCUCAGAUGGGGCCUGAUGGAAGGGGCUUAGCUUAAAAGCAGGUCCCACAGGAAGUGGUAUCAGCCCUGGCUGUGUCCAAGGCCAGCAAAGGAGUGGGACAGCUCUCAGCUCUGCAAGCUCCAAGCUGGCCCUGAGCCCAGACAGCCGAACAGCCGGGAGGGGGCCUGCUCUCAGGGCCCUCAGACAGGGCCCUCAUCUCUCUGUUUGCCCGUGCUGAAGCAUGGAAUAAGUCAGAGAGUUGCUCUGUGGUGUGGAAUGGUCCCUGAUGGCUUUAAAUCCCAUAAUUUUCCAUUUUGGAUUUAGGCUUGCCAGAUGUAACUGCUGCCUGUUGCCUGGUGGUCCGGCAAAUAAUUUUUCCAAACCUAUGGGAUCUGACAAAAUCAUGAGGUUGCUCAGCACUUGCUGGAGCACCUUCUGGUGGAUAUGGGAUGGAGAGGACCCUGUGUUUGUGCACAAUGUGAGAUGGAUGACCACUUGGGGAGUCCAACUGCAGAGUCAUCAAUAAUAAAGCACAGAAACUGAUCAGCCAGAAAUGAAGCACAUUGUUACAGCCAAAUAAAAAUAAAAAUAGGAAAAGGAAAGAAAAAAGGAAAAAAAAAACCAAAACAAACUAAACAUCAGGCUCUUUCUCAACGGGCACAGUUUAAGUGGGGAAAGUGAUUCCACUUCACCCAUGCAACCCCUGUGCCCUCAAGGCUACACAAACACACCUGGCAGCUGGACUGCGUCUUACUUGGGAUCUGAUCUCUCAGACAGUCCCAGCACAGUAUAAAAAACCUGAAUGUUGCAAAGCUAACUGGCAGGGAACUCCUAGCACCACAGUGCAAGAAGAUUCUUGUCCCAUAAUUGGGCUCUGCAUAUUUGUCUUGAUUGUUUUGCUGCAAAAUACCUCAGCAAAACUACAAAGGAUAUAUUUGACACCUAUAGCUGACAGGCUUUUUCUACACCAUUUACCAAAGCAAUGUUUUGUGUGCCUUCUGUUCUAUUUGCUACGAGAAUUAUCCAUGCAUUAACACAGUUUACAAUCACUUUCAUUUUUGUUACUGUUGCAGCCCCAGCUCGUGGGUGAGGUUGUUUAUUAAUUCCUUCCCCUGGGGUGCCUGGAGGUAACACUUUGUUCUGCGCUGGCACCGCCCUGCCGGUGAGCGGCUCGCAGGAGGGUCCCUUCUGCUCGCCCCAUUUCCAGCAGGGCCAGGGAGGGAUGAGUGCUUCAACCGGGCUCUUCCUUUAUGUAUCAGAGGUUCUGCUUAAAUUCCAGGGCACGACAGAUGCCUAAAGGCCUCUCCCACACUGGUGUCUCUGUCAGAGCUGCUGUUUGAAGGGAUAUGGGGAGUCUCUCGCUCAGACUCGGAGAAAGGUGCGUCUACACUGCAGCCAGACAAGACCCAGCCUGAAUCUGGCUGGAGAAACAAUCUCAGAGCCUUAGGAUCUCUCCCCCGUCCCCUAAAUCACUUGUGUAGAUAAAGUGUUGAACACAAGUGUUGUAGAAGCAGAGAGAAAUUAUUCGUGUUAUGACUCUUCUCAACUUACUUAGAGAAUACAACUGUGAUCUUUAACUUGUUACUGCACGUUUUGCUGGUAAUCUGCUUUGUUUAGACUGUUUACAUUAUUUUAAUAACCUAUAUAUAAACCAUAUAUCAUUGCACCAAAAAUGUGUGUGCAUAUGCAUGUAUGAGCAUGUCUCUACAAUUUUAUAGAGAUAGUAAGUCAUUUGGUUUUACAUGUAAAAGUUGUCUUCUUAUGUAGUGCCAGCUUUUCAAGGUCCUGGCUAAAAGCAAUUGUAUUAAUUUAGGAAUAAGAUUGCAUUAGACUUAUGGGAAAAUUCUAAGACAAAAAUUCAAAGUACAGCAUAGAAUUGAAAAUAUAAGAUACAUUUUGCCUUCUUCUGCCCAUUUCAAAACCUAUAAAAAGGAAAAAAAUUGAAACCUAAAAACAACAACAACAAACAAACAAAACCAAAGCAAAACAAAAAAACCAAAUGAACAAACACCAAACUUGGUGAAAGGCAAAAAUUAAAUCAGCAGUUAGUAGGGGAGGAAAAAACCUUCUUCCAGGCUUCCUUUCUACGGGAAAGCAUACAUCAAGGGUUGAAGUGAAAGAGAAUAGGAAUAUUUGGCUGGAGUUCAGGCCAGUUCUAAUAAUGAUUCUUUCAAAAGAUUAUUUGAAUUCAUAUAGCUGAAAAUAUUUGCCAGUCUUUUUCCAUGUGAAAUGUUAUAAAUCAAAAGGCAAUGGAUAUUGUAAAAAGUCCUGAAAGUAUUAUAUAGAUGAAUUUUCCACUGAGCAUCCAAAAUCCUGGAAAUAUCACAUACCCUUUAAUUCACCCUUGCUAGCACCUUCCAUGGAGUAUUGCCUUCAUGGGAGCUGCUCACAAACUCAGAUAUUUGCAGUGACAUUUUUGUGCGUGGCAAACUCUUGCAAAAUGUAAGGUUUUCUUUUCCCUGGCAGUGCAAUAUGCAAAUACACUCCACUGAUGCAAAACUGAGCCCACUUAGUGCAGCUUAUCAUACUGAAAUAGCCUCAUCAGUGCAAACACCCAGCAUCCUCUUACCCAGGCUGUAAUAAGAUCUCAAUGACAUAUACACGGGUUUGUAGGAUCAGAUUAUUAUUUGUGUAACAUUAAAGUCCUGCUCUAUCUGGCAGGCCAAUAUAUGGCACUCCUCAUGACAUUUAGUUACCAAGAAAACUUGGAGACACAGUGCAUCUCUCUGGGAGAGCAUUAACAGCCCUGCCCAGUCUCAGCUGGAGCAUCCCCACCAGCCCAGCCCAGCCCUGCCCCAGAGCCCCAUUCCAGCUCAGCCCUGGGCUCUGUAGCAGGAGCUCAGCUGCAGGCAGACCUGGUCCUGGCCAUGGGAUUUGUUUUGCCAGGCUUCAGCCCACACCAGCUCUGCAGCUUGGCCUUGGCUUUGGCCCUGCCUCAUCACCACAGCCCUGCCAAGGAUCACCAGACCCAACACAGAUCCUGCCGGGCCUGACCUCGGACCUACCUCAUCACCACAGACUUGCCUGACCGGAUAUUUUUAGAAAACUUUUCAGGCAAGCACCUAACACAACAUGUCAUCCACAAGAUGUGGAAAAGAGGCUGUUGAGGAGAGCCCUGGAACAGUCAUGUUUCAAGUUUGGGAAGAUGGGGAAUAUCUAGUUGUGCCUGCUUGAGUGGAUGCUCAGGUAGGUUGACUGUCCUUCUAUCCCUUGUGUGGUACCCUAUGGGACAUACUCCAUGGUAUUUUUUUGUCAUGCCACGGUGAAAAGUGAUGUUUGGGUGAAAAGUGCUGUUUGCUGGCCAUA